CCAGGAAGCACAGACAUUUAGAAGGUCCCCGUACAACUCAUGCAAGUAUUUUAUUAACAACAAUUUCUAUUCACAUUUAGACAUCACUUGUGAACAUAAAUUCCGUGGAACUUAUGGAAAAUGAGGAAGGCUAUCAGUCCUCAUGCACACAAUGUGCUCAGGUGAAGAAGAAGCUGACCUGUUGUGGCUGAUUUCAACAGGGAAUUAGGAGACCUUGGUGUAUAAGUCGUCCAAACAAUACCUGACUCACCAUCAAAGUUACACAAAAGCUUGAUUCAUGAAUUAAAACACAUAGUGAAUCUGAUUGUAACGCUGAUCCUCUGUGUGUUCGUAAUUAAACAACCAGUUCCUUUUAUGAAUUGAAACAAAAUUCCUUCUGGGGCAUGGCUGAAGGUUGCAUCUUCCAGAGGGAAAAAGGAAAGGAAAGUGUACCUCAGUACCCACUGCCCCAGGUGUUGAGGCUGACCACAACUGAUCCUUUUGAAGAUGCCACGAGCCCAGAGGGAAUCACAGCCUGCAGGAGACACCCAAAACAAAGAACACAAACAGGUGAAACUUCAGGGUUUGCCCUCUUCACUGCUUAAAGAGCAAAGCAAUGUGGAUGGAUGGAUGACCAGAACUGCACCCUGAAAGUAAUCUGCUCAUGGAAACUGUCCUGGAAU